rnacentral:misc_RNA from 1 species
AAUAAAGUAAUUUUUCUUUGCUCUAACUUUGUUUCCCCAAUUAUAUAUCUACAAAGUCUGUAAAAAGUAAAGACCCUUCCCCCCACCACCACCCCCAACCCCACAUGAAGAUAAAUGAAUUGUGCGUCUUCUAAACAGAUUACAGCAAUCAAAAUCUAAAAUAAUUUAGCAACAAUAAAUCAAAAAUUGUAACCUUGAUUCGUAAUCAGAAGGAACUCAAAUUUGUUGUUGAAUUUGAAAGGUAAGAAUACGCAAAGGCUGCAUGUAUGGCUGCUCCAAUGGGAAACACAUCCUCAUCCACGGUAAAAUAAGGGCUAUGUGGAGGGUGUAUGCAUCCAAGUUUCUCAUUUCUUAUGCCUAAAAGCCAGAAGGAUCCAGGUACUUUUUCCUGGUAGAAAGCAAAAUCUUCGCUCCCCAUGAAGGUAGGUGCUAGUUGAGUGUUCUCUUCUCCUACUUGUUCAAUUGAAACACGCCGUGCAUGUUCAUAGAUUUUAGCAUCGUUUAUGGUUGGAGGAAUUGUGGGGUUUUCAGUUCCAGUGAAAUCAAUCUCAGAAGAGCACCUAUGCACAGCUGCUUGCCCUUUAAUUACCUCUUCUAUUCUUUCUUUCAGUGCAUGGAAAUUCUUCUUGCUGAAAGCCCUGAAAGUUCCGCCUAUUGUGGCUGAGUCCGGUAUCACAUUAAAUGCAGAUCCUCCAUGGAUCGUGGCCACAGAAACCACCUGAGAAUCUAGAGGAUCUGUCUCCCUUGAAACUAUUUGUUGCAAGCUAAUUACUGAAGCUGAAGCCGCCAAGAUUGGAUCAAUAGAUUGCUGAGGAUUGGCUGCGUGACCCCCUUUGCCACUUAUCUUUGCUUUGAAGCUCCCACAGCCAGCAAGGAAUUCUUCAGGCCGAGAAGCAACAACUCCGGUGGGAUACCUUUGAGCCAAGUGCAACCCAAAAAUGGCCUCCACAUUAUCAAGCACCCCUUCUUCAAUCAUGCCUUUUGCACCUUGCCCUUGUUCCUCCGCUGGUUGAAAUACAAGUAUAACAGUUCCCUGCAACACAUGUCUCAGUUCUUGCAGGAUCUUUGCAGCACCAAGAAGC